UGGCAGAGCAUAUUCAAAGUUCUGAAUGAAAAUGAUCUACACCCAAGAAUACUCUAUCCUGGUGGUAGAAGAGAGAAGGAGGUAGAAGGAGAGGUUCAAGAUGCUAACAUGAUGCCGACCAAACUUCCCUGGACAGACAACCCCACCAAUAUGUCCUGGAGCUCCACUUCACCAGAGCCCUUCAUCACUAGGGAAAGAGAGAGGCAGCCUGGGAGUAUGGAUCGACCAGUCAAUGCCCAUGUUCAGUGGGGAAGCAAUUACAGAAUCCAGACCUUCAACCUUCUGCAUCCCACAAUGACCUUGAGUCCAUGCUCCCAAAGAGUUACAGAAUGGGAUAGCUAUCAGGGAAGGGGUUGGGAUACAGAGUUCUGGUGGUGGGAAUUGUGUGGAGUUGUACCCCUCUUAUCCUAUGGUUUAGUCAAUGUUUCCUUUUUAUAAAUAAAAUUUUU